CUUAAUAAGCCGUUGAUAAGAACCAUGAUUUAUAAACGUUUAUUAGGGGCUUCUUAACUAAUAAGCAGAUUAGACGCGUUAUGUUGGCAUCUUGGCACAUCAUAGACAAAAAUAUGGCUGAACAUUAAUUUAAAAAAAAAGUUUGACAGCAGCACUAGCGGCCAAUCGUAAUAUCAUGAAAAAGUUGAUUUACUAUUUUGACUAAUUUUCGGAAUUAUCUCAUAUUAAAAUAGCUUCUGUGCCACAAAAAUAAACAAAGAUUGCUGCAUGGCCGGUAAUUUUAUAAAACUUGUUUCAAUAUUAUGUGGAAUGGAGUCGAAAGAAGUGGGGUUCUAGCCGAAGUGCAUAAUUAGCGAAAAGAAGAAGUCGAAGCCAGAUACCGUACCAGGCCUCCAGUCGCCUCCGCAAGAAGAACCAUUGAAUAAUGGUUCAUGAGUUCACACUAAUUUAUUCUGGUUGCGGCAGAAAUUCACAACGGGUCAACAAAACCAAGGUCCAUUCAAACUCACUAAAUCAGAUCCUGAAAGUACCAUCUUUAGCCACUGUUACUGUUGAAUAACUCCAGGCUUUGGAAGAAAAGCUGUGGCCUGCGAACAGCUGUGAAUAUUGGUCGGAGAAGUGUAACUG